rnacentral:rRNA from 1 species
CAGUAGCCGCGGUAAUACGUAGGGCGCAAGCGUUAUCCGGAAUUAUUGGGCGUAAGGAGCUCGUAGGCGGUUUGUCGCGUCUGCCGUGAAAGUCCGGGGCUCAACCCCGGAUCUGCGGUGGGUACGGGCAGACUAGAGUGAUGUAGGGGAGACUGGAAUUCCUGGUGUAGCGGUGAAAUGCGCAGAUAUCAGGAGGGACACCGAUGGCGAAGGCAGGUCUCUGGGCAUUAACUGACGCUGAGGAGCGAAAGCAUGGGGAGCGAACAGGAUUAGAUACCCCGGUAGUCCCUGUCUCUUAUAC